UACGUAGGUGGCAAGCGUUGUCCGGAUUUACUGGGUGUAAAGGGCGUGCAGCCGGAGAGACAAGUCAGAUGUGAAAUCCACGGGCUCAACCCGUGAACUGCAUUUGAAACUGUUUCCCUUGAGUGUCGGAGGGGUAAUCGGAAUUCCUUGUGUAGCGGUGAAAUGCGUAGAUAUAAGGAAGAACACCAGUGGCGAAGGCGGAUUACUGGACGAUAACUGACGGUGAGGCGCGAAAGCGUGGGGAGCAAACAGG
rnacentral:rRNA from 1 species